GUGGGGAAUAUUGCGCAAUGGGGGAAACCCUGACGCAGCGACGCCGUGUGAGGGAAGAAGGCUUUCGGGUCGUAAACCUCUGUCAGAAAGGAAGAACCUCCCAAGUCCGAAUAGGGCUUGGGACUGACGGUACUUUCAAAGGAAGCACCGGCUAACUCCGUGCCAGCAGCCGCGGUAAUACGGAGGGUGCAAGCGUUAAUCGGAAUCACUGGGCGUAAAGCGCGCGUAGGCCGCUUUGUAAGUCGGACGUGAAAGCCCUCGGCUCAACCGGGGAACUGCGUUGGAUACUGCGAGGCUUGAGUCCUGGAGAGGGUGGCGGAAUUCCGGGUGUAGGAGUGAAAUCCGUAGAUAUCCGGAGGAACACCGGUGGCGAAGGCGGCCACCUGGACAGGUACUGACGCUGAGGCGCGAAAGCGUGGGGAGCAAACAGGAUUAGAAACCCGUGUAGUCC
rnacentral:rRNA from 1 species